GACGAGUGACGGCUCUUUACAGUGGAAGAAUAAAGAAUUGAUGCUGCAUGCAGGGGGAGGCUGCUGGGCACCAGGGGACAGGAGAAAGGUUCCUUAUGAAAUAUUGACGGAGACUGGAGAUGGGGCCAGAGUAUGUCUGCCCUUCCUCCUCAACUCUUCCACCAGCCAACAAUGUGCGUGCUCUGGGGGGGAACUCACAUUCCUGCCAGCUAAGAAGGAGACAUUUUGGGGGAUGCCACUAUGUCGGGUUGCCCUUCCUCUUCCAUGAAAAAGGUAAAUUUCACCACUGAUUUAAAACACAUGGAAGCCAUCAACACGGAGUGGAAGCUUAUGGAGAGUGAAAGCAGACCCCCGCACGCUAGUACGGUGUAAAAACGCAUCAAACUUUCGGUCGAUGGAAGAUUCACGUUGCACAAAUAACAAAUGUGUUUUCUGAGUGGGUGUGAAUGUGUGCGUCACUUGUAUUUGAAGUGUGUUUGAUGUGUGUGAGCUCCUGUUAUUCUCUCUUUGACAGCUAAAUCAUCCCCUCCUCCCUUCCCUGUACGUAACCUCAGAAGAUGAUUAGUUCAUAUUUUCCCCCCGAUUGUAUGGACCGGUCCCUGGUGACGGCGUUGUAAUGUGUUUUAUAGAUAUGCUACAAGUCACCCCGUAAAUAGGUCAGCUGUCUGAAGUGUGAUGUGUCAUGUGCUCUUUUCCAGCUCUGAAAUGUCUUCUCUAAUGAGCCCUAGUGAUUUUGGAGAGGAAAACACCACAACCCUUUUUCCAAUAAAGCCUCUCUCUGCCUCUCUGAGCCUCGCAUGACAGAAACAAAAGCUGUUUGUCCUUUUGGGGAUUGUGUGUGUGCGUGUGUGUGCAUGCGAGCAUUUGUGUGUGUGUGUGUGUGUGUGUGUGUGUGUGUGUGUGUACUGUAUGUGCACGUGUCUGUCUCUGCCAUUCCUUCCUUCCUUCAGUUUGUGUUCUUCUGUCAUGCUCUCUUACUCUUUUAUCUCUGCGUUGACGCAAUAAAAUCUUUCCUCAUG